rnacentral:misc_RNA from 1 species
UUUUUCUUCUUCUUCUUCUCACAAUUUCCCCUGUUUUUUGUCUACUUGUUAACAGGGAAAAUUAACUCCAUGAAUGCUUUAAAGCUCUUUUUAAGUGCAGCAGCACUUGCAAUAAUGGCUGUUCUAUUGACUUUAAGCUCCAAAAAUGUUUACAGUCCACCUUCAAUACCAGGAUCCAAAGAUCUCUUAUCGAAAUCUGAAGUAAUACAUCUGAAAGGAGCAGUUGGGCCGGAGAGUAUUGCGUUUGACCCGAACGGAGAAGGUCCAUACACCGGCGUUGCUGAUGGCCGGAUUCUUAAGUGGAAUGGAGAUUCUGACGGUUGGGUUGAUUUUGCUGUCACUUCGUCUCAAAGGAAGGAAUGUGUGCACCCUUUUGCUCCCCAAAUGGAGCACGUAUGCGGAAGACCGCUGGGCUUACGAUUUGAUACAAGAACCGGAGACCUCUACAUUGCUGAUGCCUAUUUAGGACUUCACGUUGUGGGUCCAUCUGGUGGAUUAGCUACCCCACUCGUCACAGAAGUUGAAGGCCAGCCUCUGCGCUUCACAAAUGACCUCGACAUCGAUGAGCAAGAAGAUGUAAUUUACUUCACAGAUACCAGCACACAAUUCCAGAGGAGGCAAUUUGUUGCAUCUGUUGUAAGUGGAGACAAGACAGGCCGGCUGAUGAAAUACGACAAAUCAACCAAAUCAGUGACAGUUUUACUACGAGGCCUUGCUUUUGCCAACGGUGUAGCCUUGAGCAAAGACAAGUCCUUUGUACUAGUAGCUGAAACUAGUACCUGUAGAGUAGUAAGGCAUUGGCUUAAAGGCCCUCAUGCAGGAAAACACGAUACAUUUGCUGAUCUACCAGGAUAUCCAGACAACAUCAGAAGAAACUCGAGAGGGGAGUUUUGGGUCGGUUUGCAUUCAAAAAGAUCGCUGCUUGCAAAAUUAGUCACAUCCUAUUCAUGGUUCGGAAAGACAACACUAAAACUUCCAUUCACCUUCCAGCAACUGCAUUUCUUGUUAGUUGGAGGACAGCCUCAUGCAACUGCAAUUAAGCUAAGCGAGGACGGGCAAGUUUUGGAUGUUCUAGAAGACCUCGAGAGCAAGACGUUGAAGUUCAUAAGCGAGGUUGAGGAGAAGAACGGCAAGCUGUGGAUUGGUUCUGUACUGGUGCCUUUUGUUGGAGUUCAUGAAUUGUCUUAAAAGUUGCAGUAUCCUAAAUAGGUUAGCUCAACUUUUGGUGAUGAAUAAGUUUUUAACUUAGAGCCAAGAGUUUGUCGGAAACGAUGUUUCUGCUUUCACUAGGUAGGGUAACGCUAUGUAAACCCAUCAUGGUCACACCCUACUUGUCGGAUUACACUGGAUAUGUUAUUGUCG